AGAGUUUGAUCCUGGCUCAGGACGAACGCUGGCGGCGUGCUUAACACAUGCAAGUCGAACGAUGAUGCCCAGCUUGCUGGGCGGAUUAGUGGCGAACGGGUGAGUAAUACGUGAGUAACCUGCCCUUGACUCUGGGAUAAGCCUGGGAAACUGGGUCUAAUACUGGAUACUACCUCUUGCCGCAUGGUGGGUGGUGGAAAGGGUUUUACUGGUUUUGGAUGGGCUCACGGCCUAUCAGCUUGUUGGUGGGGUAAUGGCUCACCAAGGCGACGACGGGUAGCCGGCCUGAGAGGGUGACCGGCCACACUGGGACUGAGACACGGCCCAGACUCCUACGGGAGGCAGCAGUGGGGAAUAUUGCACAAUGGGCGGAAGCCUGAUGCAGCGACGCCGCGUGAGGGAUGACGGCCUUCGGGCUGUAAACCUCUUUCAGUAGGGAAGAAGCGAGAGUGACGGUACCUGCAGAAGAAGCGCCGGCUAACUACGUGCCAGCAGCCGCGGUAAUACGUAGGGCGCAAGCGUUGUCCGGAAUUAUUGGGCGUAAAGAGCUCGUAGGCGGUUUGUCGCGUCUGCUGUGAAAGCCCGGGGCUCAACCCCGGGUCUGCAGUGGGUACGGGCAGACUAGAGUGCAGUAGGGGAGACUGGAAUUCCUGGUGUAGCGGUGAAAUGCGCAGAUAUCAGGAGGAACACCGAUGGCGAAGGCAGGUCUCUGGGCUGUUACUGACGCUGAGGAGCGAAAGCAUGGGGAGCGAACAGGAUUAGAUACCCUGGUAGUCCAUGCCGUAAACGUUGGGCACUAGGUGUGGGGGACAUUCCACGUUUUCCGCGCCGUAGCUAACGCAUUAAGUGCCCCGCCUGGGGAGUACGGCCGCAAGGCUAAAACUCAAAGGAAUUGACGGGGGCCCGCACAAGCGGCGGAGCAUGCGGAUUAAUUCGAUGCAACGCGAAGAACCUUACCAAGGCUUGACAUUCACCGGACCGCCCCAGAGAUGGGGUUUCCCUUCGGGGCUGGUGGACAGGUGGUGCAUGGUUGUCGUCAGCUCGUGUCGUGAGAUGUUGGGUUAAGUCCCGCAACGAGCGCAACCCUCGUUCUAUGUUGCCAGCACGUGAUGGUGGGGACUCAUAGGAGACUGCCGGGGUCAACUCGGAGGAAGGUGGGGAUGACGUCAAAUCAUCAUGCCCCUUAUGUCUUGGGCUUCACGCAUGCUACAAUGGCCGGUACAAAGGGUUGCGAUACUGUGAGGUGGAGCUAAUCCCAAAAAGCCGGUCUCAGUUCGGAUUGAGGUCUGCAACUCGACCUCAUGAAGUCGGAGUCGCUAGUAAUCGCAGAUCAGCAACGCUGCGGUGAAUACGUUCCCGGGCCUUGUACACACCGCCCGUCAAGUCACGAAAGUUGGUAACACCCGAAGCCGGUGGCCUAACCCCUUGUGGGAGGGAGCCGUCGAAGGUGGGACUGGCGAUUGGGACUAAGUCGUAACAAGGUAACC
rnacentral:rRNA from 1 species